rnacentral:rRNA from 1 species
UACGAAGGGGGCUAGCGUUGCUCGGAAUCACUGGGCGUAAAGCGCACGUAGGCGGAUUCAUAAGUCGGUGGUGAAAUCCUGGAGCUCAACUCCAGAACUGCCUCCGAUACUGAGAGUCUCCGAGUCCGGGAGAGGUGAGUGGAACUGCGAGUGUAGAGGUGAAAUUCGUAGAUAUUCGCAAGAACACCAGUGGCGAAGGCGGCUCACUGGCCCGGUACUGACGCUGAGGUGCGAAAGCGUGGGGAGCAAACAGG